rnacentral:misc_RNA from 1 species
GACCCACACAAGAGGAAGCCUGAUAUUACAAAGGCAAAAGAUCUGCUUGGUUGGAAGCCGAAGGUAUCCCUUCGGAAGGGUCUGCCACUAAUGGUCUCAGAUUUCCAGCAACGCAUCUUUGGUGACCACAAGGAAGAUAGCACCACCAGCAUUGUGUCAACAGCUUAAAUUGGCACUUUUUCUUGAGCAGCGGCAGCAAUAUAAAUUAUUUGGUGGAUAACCAACUUAUCGUUGCCUUCAUCACACGGUUACGUGGCAACAACAGUGGCAGCAAAGAAGUCCGUUAUUCUAUGAGGAAUGAACUUGGAGGUGUUCCUUUCCCAUUUAUUUCACAGUCAGCUUCAUAAUCUCCAUGUAUUUUUUUUUUUCGCUUGUAAUUUCUCUUUGAAGGAUAUUAGACAGCCAGCAGCCUUGCAAUUAAAGUCACUUUAAACUUUGAAGCAAUUGAUAUAUGUAGCAGCAUCAGCAACGGCUUCCAUUGUAUUAGUUUUGUUACAUUUACGACGCUCAUCUUCGUAUAUAAAACAGAAUCUCCC